UUACGGUCAAAUCACGCUGAAAACACCGGUUCUCGUUCGAUCACCGAAGUUAAGCAUCGUAGAGCCAGGUCAGUAAGAUGGGGGACCGCUUGGGAACACCUGGUACUGUAAG
rnacentral:rRNA from 1 species